UCCUCCGUGGCGCAAUUGGCUAGCGCGUCUGACUGUUAUCGAGACUCAAGUCUGGUGCUAUCAGGAGGUUGACAGUUCAAGCCUGUCCGGGGGAG